rnacentral:lncRNA from 1 species
UCCUAUAUGUUCUUGCAUUUGUGGGCCUUUUCAUAGAGGGAGCUCGAUUCUCUGUUAUUUCCUCUAUACUUAGCUUCAUUCUACCUGAGUGUUUCAUGUUGCGAGUCUAUCCGAGCUAGGAGCUCGGUUCUUUGCUCUUUGCCUAGGUUUUUAUGCCUAUAGUCUGUGACGCUGCUUAUUUCGCGAGCUCAGGAGUUCGGAAUUUUGCUUUUUU